rnacentral:misc_RNA from 1 species
UACGGAGGGUGCAAGCGUUGAUCGGAAUUACUGGGCGUAAAGCGCACGCAGGCGGUCUGUCAAGUCGGGUGUGAAAUCCCCGGGCUCAACCUGGGAACUGCGUCCGAAACUGGCAGGCUUGAGUCUUGGAGAGGGGGGUAGAAUUCCAGGUGUAGCGGUGAAAUGCGUAGAGAUCUGGAAGAAUACCAGUGGCGAAGGCGGCCCCCUGGACAGAGACUGACGCUCAGGUGCGAAAGCGUGGGGAGCAAACAGG